CACUCCAACACAGUAGGUGGCGGUAAUGCACUUCAACGUUGGUUGCCACCCGCCAAAAACACCAAGAAGGAGAAGAAGAAGCACGAGCAGACGGCUCCAGAGUGGUCGACCUGAGACUGAAGGCAUGUCUGCAGCGUCCAGCAUCAAAAUGACAAGGUCUGCAAAGGUGAAGCCAGGCCCCGCACCACUCAGACCUCCUGACUGACAUCUGAUCCUCAAGAAUGACUUUGAGCUUGAUGAGAGUGGGAGGUUCAGCACUAUGUUCAGAGGCAUUGAGUGCAGAAGUCUGACAUGUCAUGGUUUCAAGGAAGGUGAAAUGGCUUCACUGGCCAUGUGGAUCAAUGAUGUGACACUGCAUUAGAGCUGCAAACUUCAGGGAAUUCACCAACAUGACCAGACUUCAAUGCAGGUUUAUCCAGAGAGUUGGAGAGCCAGUUCAUCUGCUGAAGGAAACAAUGAUCACAUUUGUGCAUCUGCAGUAAACUUCUGUAACAGGGAAGAGAGAAGAAAGAUUUAUGUUGAUGGUAAAAUCAUUCAAAUUAUAUUGUGCAAGGGUUUGACGAGAAACACUUGAAAUAAACAUCGUUCUGAGCA